UUUAACAGUGCUUGCUGAAGCACCUGGCACGGCUACUGUAAAUCCUGUACUGACUUUUCAAAUACGCCCUGUGUGCCAGAAAGAAGGUCCAGGGAGAAUUAUGUGGUCUGCACAGGUCACCUGGAGCAGAGCACCUGCUUGACUGAGUCAGUGCUCAGCAGCACCCGGGCCCUCGCCACCACCACCACCACAAAGGGUGUGUUUUGUCAGUUCAUCGCAGUGUGGGAACACUGCCAAGAAUCCUUUUCUCCCCUUUUGCUGCUUGCACCUGACUAGAGAGGAAGCUGAUGGACCUGGGGCUGUGUCACAAUAAGAGUCUAUCCUGCAAGAAUGAAAUUUCAAAUAAAAGUCCACCAGGAGUCCCAGUAACCAUCUCAGGUAAUUUUUUCAGCAAUACAACAAGAAUUAAUAAAGAAAAUGGGACCAGAGGGAAGAGUCAUUGCUGUGGCAAGCCUGGCUGUGUGGUCCUUAGAAACUGGUUUUCAAGAUGAAUACAGAAGAGUUUGGAGGUAUGGGCUAGAGAAUGCUGUAAGUUAGCUUAAUGAGUUUGGAAGACCGGAACACCAGCAGAAAUAUAGACAAUGAAGACUCCCCACAAGUUUUCACAUGUAAACAAAAACUCUACUGAGAAUUGGAUUAGACACCAACUGUGUUACACCAUGGUAAAUGUGGCAAGGAAUUUGUCUGUGUUUUGUCCAAGUGCUGAACAUUUGAGUGAGGCUGAAUUCAAGAGUAAUGGACUAAGCCAGGAGGUAGUUGUGCAUGCAUUUAUCCCAGCACUAUGGAGGCUGAAGCAGGUGGAUCUCUGUGAGUUCAAGGCCAUCCUGGUCUACAGAGUGAGUUCCGGGAUAGCCAGAGCUACACAGUGAAAG
rnacentral:lncRNA from 1 species